CUCUCGACUUUAUUUUGACGUUACAUUCUUGGACACACCAUUAAUUUAAUAGGUUGAAUGCUUUUUUCCGAAAAUCUUUUAUCAUUUAAAAAUCAAUGUUAUCAUGUCAGAAAUAUCUAUGGCGUUGAGAAUAGGCUAUACCAAUUACUAUGGAAAUGUCUUUUCAAUUGGACCCAAGACUAAAGACCUUACAAUUUUAUAUCAAGGUGUAAAUUAUAAAUAUAAAGCAUUAAUUUAAUAGGUUGAAUGCUUUUUUACUGAAAAUAUUUCAUCUUUUAAAAACCAAUGUUAUCAUGUAAAAUUGGUUUUGAGUAUGACAUAUCAAUUGCUAUGGAAAUGUCUUUCCAAUCGGACCCAAGACCUUACAAUUAUAUA